rnacentral:rRNA from 1 species
AUUGAACGCUGGCGGCAGGCCUAACACAUGCAAGUCGAGCGGAUGAAGGGAGCUUGCUCCUGGAUUCAGCGGCGGACGGGUGAGUAAUGCCUAGGAAUCUGCCUGGUAGUGGGGGAUAACGUCCGGACACGGGCGCUAAUACCGCAUACGUCCUGAGGGAGAAAGUGGGGGAUCUUCGGACCUCACGCUAUCAGAUGAGCCUAGGUCGGAUUAGCUAGUUGGUGGGGUAAAGGCCUACCAAGGCGACGAUCCGUAACUGGUCUGAGAGGAUGAUCAGUCACACUGGAACUGGGACACGGUCCAGACUCCUACGGGAGGCAGCAGUGGGGAAUAUUGGACAAUGGGCGAAAGCCUGAUCCAGCCAUGCCGCGUGUGUGAAGAAGGUCUUCGGAUUGUAAAGCACUUUAAGUUGGGAGGAAGGGCAGUAAGUUAAUACCUUGCUGUUUUGACGGUACCAACAGAAUAAGCACCGGCUAACUUCGUG